rnacentral:rRNA from 1 species
GGGCUACACACGUGCUACAAUGGCGGUGACAGUGGGAAGCUAGGUAGCGAUGCUUAGCUUAUCUCAAAAAGCCGUCUCAGUUCGGAUUGCACUCUGCAACUUGGGUUCAUGAAGGUGGAAUCGCUAGUAAUCGCGGAUCAGCAUGCCGCGGUGAA